UACGUAGGUGGCAAGCGUUGUCCGGAUUUAUUGGGUUUAAAGGGUGCGUAGGCGGUUUUUUAAGUCAGUGGUGAAAUACAGCCGCUUAACGGUUGAGGUGCCAUUGAUACUGGGAAACUUGAGUACAGACGAGGUAGGCGGAAUUGACGGUGUAGCGGUGAAAUGCAUAGAUAUCGUCAAGAACACCGAUAGCGAAGGCAGCUUACUAGACUGUAACUGACGCUGAUGCACGAAAGUGUGGGGAUCAAACAGG
rnacentral:rRNA from 1 species